GCCUCUAUAGCUAAGUGGUAAAGCACUGUUCUCGUAAACCAGGGGUCGUGAAUUCAAUCCUCACUGGAGGCA
rfam:Ciona savignyi cont_5614, whole genome shotgun sequence.